UACGUAGGGUGCAAGCGUUAAUCGGAAUUACUGGGCGUAAAGCGUGCGCAGGCGGUGAUGUAAGACAGGUGUGAAAUCCCCGGGCUUAACCUGGGAACUGCAUUUGUGACUGCAUCGCUGGAGUGCGGCAGAGGGAGGUGGAAUUCCACGUGUAGCAGUGAAAUGCGGUAGAGAUGUGGAGGAACGACCGAUGGCGAAGGCAGCCUCCUGGGUCCAUACUGACGCUCAGGCACGAAAGGCGUGGG
rnacentral:rRNA from 1 species